ACUUUUAAAGGGAAAUAGCUACCCAUUGGUUUUAGGCACCAACACUCUUGGUGCAAAUCCAAGUAAAAGAA
rnacentral:tRNA from 1 species